ensembl:lncRNA
UGGUCAGUAUAGUAUGGUAAAAUAUAGCUAUGGCCUUAAUAAGGUGAGGAUUAAAUGGAAACUGUAAGCAUGUAGUAGGGAAGCCAAUUCUUUCUGGCAAAAAUUUCUUCACACAUUUAAAGGCACAGGAGUAUUUUAAAUGUGUAUAAUUAAUAGGGCUAUCCGUAUGUUGACCCAGCAGUACCCUUAUGCUUGCUGGAUUAUUCUUCAAUUCAUCAUCCAAGGACCAUGGAUAUGUUCCCUGGUGUAAAAGGUUUCAAGCUAACGAACUGGAUCAAAGCUCUGCAUCAGGCACUGAGGCUUGCUAUAAACAAGGAAAAGAAGCUGAGCUUGUACCUUUCAGGAAAUCAAUAACACUCAACCUACAGUUAAGGUGGCUUAUGACAAGCCAAUCCUUAUUCUAUAAAAGGUCUGUAAGUGUGUGUGUGUGUGUGUGUCUAUGUGUGUUUGUGCAUGUGUGUGUAUCAUAGUAAUCUGUGCAUGUGUGUGUAUCAUAGUAAUCUCUGUUCCUUUAUGAGAUGUAGGCUUGUGUAUAUCUAAAUUUGGGUGUUACUGAAGUAUCCUCUAAGACUUUCCAAUCUAUGAAAAGAUUUUAGGAAGGUUUUGUGAAAGGAUUGGAGUCCAGCCACAAUGACCAGGUUGCUGUGAGCAGUGCACAAGAGUUGUAUCAGAAGGAAAUGAAUUGAACUGUAUCAGCAGAAAAGUUCUGAGACCUGUCCCCUGCCAAUACUUCUAGACUUUAAAUAUUUGCAAGCAGAAGCUACCAAUUCACUUCAAAGAGAUACAACGUAUUGGGUUUUGUCUGACUGGGAUGCUAAGAGAAGUAAACACAAAUGCCAAAAAAAUCAUUUGCAUGAUUGUUUUGAGACUUAGGACUUUAUUGCGCAAAGCUGAUAUUCCAUGACAGUUGUGUGAUCACCAAUAGUGGCAACAUAGUGGCAUGAGCACCCUCCCUGUCACACAUCCUUGCAUUCUGGCAACUUUGCUGAUUAGCCAAUCUGUGGUCCCUCAUGCCUUACUUCAGCAUAACCUCAUAACCUCCACCUUGUAUUUAAAAUCAUACAGUUUGAAAAGAUCACAAGGACUAUCCAGUCCAACUAUCUGCCAUGCUGCUCUAUGUUUCUAAAAAUAAACAAUUUUGCAAUUCCAGCUAUAUUUAAUUUUUAAAAAAUAAAAUAAAAACUAAAAUUUAAAAAAUGCUACCUGGGUGUGGAGAAUGGUAACAGAGGAGAAUCCUGUCCCUUGACAUCAUAUCAGUGCACCAGGUAAGUGAUGGGAACAUGGUGCAAUCUGCAGGAAUUGAUGGGAUUUCCCAAAUAUAGUGGGAGACAGGCUAAUCACAGGAAGGAGCAGAGCAGUGAAAUGACCUGUGGCUUUGUCUCCUUCAUGUGAUAAAGUCCUUAUAAUAGAUUUCAGUUUUGAUUUCUGAUAGCAUCUCUUUGCAAGCUUUCCACAUAGACAUCUCCCCCCCCCAAAAAAAACAACAACCCACACACAAGCUCUCUUCUCUCAGCCCAGUCUUCUGUGAAAACCUCUUCUCUCAGCCCAGUCUUCUGUGAAAACAACUCUCCACCAACUUGCAUUACCAAGCAUUACUGUAAAACAAUCUGCUUUGUAAAAUGCUAAUACAGACAUGUAUUAAGAUAAUAGAUAAGUUAAGAUAAGAUAUUAAGAUAAGUUAAUACGACUGCACCUGCAACUAGCAUUAGUAAGCACUUGAGUUCAUUAUUCUGGAAUUGUAUUCCUGGAGGGAUUGGCAAAUCCAUUCUCCUCCUCCUCCUCCCUUUUCCAACACAUGUAACAAGCAGAGAGUACAAUGCAACCUAGUUUCCCUCUUGUCUGGCUACUAAAAGAAGGGAAACAUUUAAACUGGAAAUAAGUCCACCUGCCUGGCUGCUCCUCUCUGAGUUACCCUCUAUCAAUGAGUCCUGAGGUCUUCCUACAACCCUCCCUGCCCCAGUCCCCUGUACCUUUGUUCCGACGCCUGACCACCCCAAGCCGGCACUUCAGAGAAACAGCAAACAUCUUCCCUGGUUCGCUGUCUUUGACAGUGCCGGGCUCACAUGGCUCUGAACGGCUUCUCCCUCAACACCUCUGCCUGACUCUGCAAUGGGCUGCCGGCUUUAAAUUAAUUUAUGAUUACUGUGAAAUGGAGUUGUGCUUCAUGUCCUAGCAGAAGGAAUGAGAGUGAGGGAGGGCAGGGAGGAUGGGACACAUCCCUUUCUUAGGAAUUCGUCAGGACUGUACUUUGUGGAAAUUUCAGACCAAAUGAAAUGUGAAAUUGCUUCUCUACAUUCAUAGUUUCCCCCCUGUGAAAACAAUAUGCAGCCAUACACAGGAAAACAUUUUCUUAGCAUCCCAAGAAUCCUCUAUGACAUUAAUAUAACUCAUUAGCAGCUGUAGGGUUAUUUUUAUCUGUAAGUGUCUCCCUUUAAGAAUUACUCUCAAAAAAGAUAACAAAGAGGAACUAUCAACUUCCUGGUAAAGUUGUCAGCAAAUAAGAGGAAAGGGAUAAAGGCUAGGCUUGAGCGAUCCAUGAAAAAAUUGAUUCUAAAUUCGUUUCAAAAGUAGGGGGCGCCAGCGUUUCGUUUCUGAUGUCAUUUCCGAAUUUUGCCCCCCCAAAAAAUUCGAAAUUAAUGAAAAUUCGUUAGUUUCAAAAUUAAUUCGUUAAUGGCGGACGCGCAUGCGCAGUGGCCAAAAAAAACAGCACGAGGGGAGAUUUUACAGGACUCUCCCGCCCUCAUUUUUUGAGUGAUCUGCUUCAAACUUGGUACAGUGGUAGAACACAUUUAACACUGAUAGCUCACCAAAAUUUGGAACGUUUCCCUUAUCCUCUGAUUUUUGGCGAAUUUUCAUAGCUUUUAUAAUAAACCAUUUUUUAAUAAUUGCAGAAAUCUGUUCCUGGUUUGAAAGUCUUAUUUCCUGUUAAAUUGGGUUGUCUUUACUGUGAAAGUCAUUGUUCUACUUCAGAAACUUUGUUUUUGUAGCUGAAACUUUGUUAAAUUGGUGUGUGUGUGAUAUAUACUGUGUAUAUAUAUAUAUAUAUAUAUAUAUAGUCCCUGCAUAUGUGUGUGUGUGUGUGUGUGUGUGUAUAUAGGUAAAGGUAUCCCUUGACGUUAAGUUCAGUCAUGUCUGACUCUGGGGGUUGGUGCUCAUCUCCAUUUCUAAGCGCAAGAGCCAGUGUUGUCCAUAGACACCUCCAGAGGUCAUGUGGUCGGCAUGACUACAUGGAGUGC